rnacentral:rRNA from 1 species
CGUGCCUAACACAUGCAAGUCGAGCGAUUCUCUUCUGAUAACAUGGGCGGACUGAUGAGUAACGCGUGGGUAACCUGCCCUGUACACCCGGAUAACCUACCGAAAGGGAUGCUACUACUAAAUAGUAUGCUUUUAUCGCAUGGGAUAAUUAUCAAAGUUUUUGCGGUACAGGAUGGACCCGCGUCUGAUUAGCUAGGUGGUAAGGUAACUGCUUACCAAGGCGACGAUCAGUACCCGACCUGAAAGGGUGAUCGGCCACAUUGGAACUGAGACACGGUCCAAACUCCUACGGGAGGCACCAGUGGGGAAUAUUGCACAAUGGGCAAAAGCCUGAUGCAACGACGCCGCGUGAGCGAUGAACGCCUUCGGGUCGUAAAGCUCUGUCCUCGGGGAAUAUAAUGACGGUACUUGAGGAUGAAGCCCCGGCUAACUACGUGCCAGCAGCCACGGUAAUACGAAGGGGGCUAGCGUUAUUCGGAAUUACUGGGCGUAAAGGGUGCGUACGUGGUUUCUUAAGUCAGAGGUGAAAGGCUACGGAUCGACCGUAGUAAGCCUUUGAAACUGUGAAACUUGAGUGCACGAGAGGAGAGUGGAAUUCCUAGUGUAGCGGUGAAAUGCGUAGAUAUUAGGAGGAACACCAGUUGCGAAGGCGGCUCUCUGGACUGUAACUGACACUGAGGCACGAAAGCGUGGGGAGCAAACAGGAUUAGAUACACUGGUAGUCCACGCUGUAAACGAUGAGUACUAGCUGUCGGAGGUUACCCCCUUCGGUGGCGCAGCUAACGCAUUAAGUACUCCGCCUGGGAAGUACGCUCGCAAGAGUGAAACUCAAAGGAAUUGACGGGGACCCGCACAAGUAGCGGAGCAUGUGGUUUAAUUCGAAGCAACGCGAAGAACCUUACGUAAGCUUGACAUCCUUUUGACCGAUGCCUAAUCGCAUCUUUCCCUUCGGGGACAGAAGUGACAGGUGGUGCAUGGUUGUCGUCAGCUUGUGUCGUGAGAUGUUGGGUUAAGUCCCGCAACGAGCGCAACCCUUGCCUUUAGUUGCCAGCAUUAAGUUGGGCACUCUAGAGGGACUGCCAGGGAUAACCUGGAGGAAGGUGGGGAUGACGUCAAAUCAUCAUGCCCCUUAUGCUUAGGGCUACACACGUGCUACAAUGGGUGGUACAGAGGGCAGCCAAGUCGUGAGGCGGAGCUAAUCCCUUAAAGCCAUUCUCAGUUCGGAUUGUAGGCUGAAACUCGCCUACAUGAAGCUGGAGUUACUAGUAAUCGCAGAUCAGAAUGCUGCGGUGAAUGCGUUCCCGGGUCUUGUACACACCGCCCGUCACACCACGGGAGUUGGGGGCGCCCGAAGCCGGAUUGCUAACCUUUUGGAAGCGUCCGUCGAAGGUGAAAUCAAUAACUGG